rnacentral:rRNA from 1 species
GGGGCUGAUCCCGCCAUGCGCGUGUGUGAAGAAGGCUUUUGGUUGAAAGACUUUAAGCAGUGAAGAAGACUCUAUGGUUAAUACCCAUAGACGAUGACAUUAGCUGCAGAAUAAGCACCGCUAACUCUGUGCCAGCGGCC